UGAUGUGAGGGCAACCUGGCUGUGACAUUUAUCAUCCCGUUGAUCGCCAGAAUUGGUUCAGCUAUUCUGGCAGGCUAGGCGGCUGUCCCCUUUCUCCCUCACUGCUCCGUGUGCCCUCCCUCUUGAAGUUGCAUUCUGGAUGGAAGAGGACAACCUGCCCCGAUUACAGGAAACAGGUCUUCCUGUGCUCCCCUGCUAAAAUCUCCAAACAAGCUCCUAAGAGAAAGGCAGAUUGUUAUUAGUAGGGGAAAAAUGAAAUUUU
rnacentral:snRNA from 1 species